rnacentral:lncRNA from 1 species
GUGGUGUAUAGGACCUGUAUCACUUAUUAACAAGGAUGACUUGGAUAAAGCUGAAAGAGGUAGGGGCUCAAUGGAUGUGUCCCAAUAUCUAAAAUGGCUUGAUUGUGAGAAGGCAGGGAGUGUAAUCUAUGCAUGCCUUGGAAGCCUAUGCAAUUUGACAGCACCCCAGUUGAUAGAGCUUGGUUUGGCCUUGGAAGCAUCACAAAGACCCUUCAUUUGGGUUAUCAGGGAAGGACGUUAUUCAGAAGCAUUGGAAAAGUGGAUCGAGGAAAAUGGAUUUGAGGAAAGGACAAGUUCUAGAAGCCUUCUCAUUCGGGGCUGGGCUCCUCAAUUGUUAAUAUUAUCACACCCUGCAAUUGGAGGGUUCAUAACACACUGUGGUUGGAACUCUACCUUAGAGGCAAUAUGUGCUGGUGUUCCAAUGAUUACAUGGCCAAUGUUUGGUGAUCAGUUCUUGAAUGAAAGUGUAGUGGUGCACGUUUUGAAAGUUGGAGUAAAGGUUGGGGUGCAAACUCCGAUGAGAUGGGGCAAGGAAGAGGAAAUUGGUGUGGAAGUGAAAAAGGUAGACGUUGAAAGGGCAAUAAUAGAGAUAAUGGAUGUGACAAGUGAAGGUGAAGAAAGAAGAAAAAGAAUAAGAGAAUUGAGCGAGAUGGCUGAAAGAGCCGUGGAGAAAGGGGGAUCCUCUCACUCUAACGUGAACUUGCUUAUCCAGGAUAUCACGCAAAAAAUCCAGAGAGACGUGUGAUAUUCUCAUAUACCUUACACCAAUUUGAUGUAAAAGGUCACAGCUUUUAGUUUUUUACUCAAUUCUCUUUCUUUUAAAUGUUGUUCAUCAUAUUUCUCAAAUUUACUAAUUAUCUAUUAGAUUUUUUUAAAAUAUAUGGUGAGUUAGAUUGUUUUUAUUUUAUUUAUAGAAAAUUUGAAAGUUUGAAAGUUUACACUAGUUAAACUGAUAACUAGUUACACAAUAAAAAUAAACAUCAUUUUCAUUUUUGAGGUUAUCGAGCAUGGCGUAUCGGUUUUAGAGUCAAACUAAAGCAUUACUUGUCAUUUUGCUUUUUGAAUUCAUGCUUAGUGCUUGUUAUUAACUAGGUUUCUUUAAAACAAAUCACCACAAGAUUGUUUUUAAUUCGCAGUAAUUUUCUGGCAGUUUUAAAAUCAUCAGACAUUGUUAUUCUGUCAUUUGUUAUUUUCUAUUAAGACAAUAAUACAAUUAUACGUAAUUAUAUGUAAUUAUAAACUAUUAAUUUGAUAAUAAUAGAAUCUCAUAAUUAACUUUAAUUUGUAAAAAGAGUUUUCAUGCACUUAUAAUAUUUUUUAUACAUAAAAUUAUUUUUAUGUAAAUAAAAAAAAUAAAACAUUAGCAUUUUUUUUCCAUCUUCUUAUAUAUUUUCUUAUAUUUUAUGACUUCGAUUGUAACAAUAGUCAUCAUUAUUUGUUGGUAUUUUUAUAUCAUCUCAAAACGCAUGUAAUAAUGUCUUUUGUUGUGUCAACUCACCAGAAACAUAUUUUCUCGUGGUUAGAAAAAACUUCUAGAAAAUGAUCACCACUAGUUUAGUCACUUGAGUCAUUUGUUCCAAAUAAUUUUUGGUGAAUAAUUGAUGAAUAAGAAAAUCACCACUUUCGUCGAUCAAUAUAAUUAUAUGUAAUGAUUAUGUAUUGACAUUUGAUGACACUUAGUCAAGCGCAUAAUCUUUCUACCGAAAUAAUAAUACUAAAAUAUAGAGUAUAGAGGAGAGGGAUCGGGUUUUUUUCAACUAACUUUAUUUUAUUCUUUACUUUCUAUUUUUUUUUCUUUUAAUUCAAUGUUUUUAUAGUGAAAAGUUCAUCCUUAAUAGUUCAAUUAAUAAAAACUAGGAACGAAGAAUAAGUUAUUUUUAAAGUAAUUUUGUUUAUUCCUCGUAUAUGAAUAAUAAUUUUCAUGUUUAAAAAUAUUAAAUUUUUUAAACGGAAGGAAUAAAGGAACAUGAUAUAUUCAUUAGAGUAAAGAAAUAGUAAUAUUUUUUUUAAAAUAAUCACUAUAUUUGUAAAUUAUAUUAUUAAUAAUUAAAAAACUAUUGAUCCAAAAGUUCUACUUUUUCACCACUUGUAGAAUUAUUCAUUGUGUGUUAUUGUUCUAGUUCUUGUUGUCAUCAACAAAUGGUACUUUAAACAAUUAGAUUUUAACAUUUUUUUACAUGGAAAUCUCAACGAAGUGGUUUAUAUGUAGCUAUUUCCAUGGCAUAAAAAGGAUCACAAUAAGGUUUGGAAAUCGAAUAAAUCUCUACAUGUUCUUAAACUAGCUAGUAGGCAAUGAUACUUCAUGUUGUCGUGUUUAUAAACGUUUUAAGUCUAUUUGUUCUAAUUCUGUUUUUACGAAACUGUGGAUUUUGAAUAGUGGAGUAACCCAUCACAUGAUAUCUGAUUCACAAUUUUUCACACACAUUUCAUCAUUAUUUAUUCUAUUUAUUUUAAAUGUUAAUCUGCCCACGAACUCAACUGCGAUCAUCUCAUCUACGGGCACUUUUUGCAUGGUUACGUUUUGUUGAACUUGGCUACGGAGAGAAUAAUUGGCUCGGGUAAACCAUAUGCAAGCUGACCCUGAUUUAUGGCACAAGCGCCUCGAACAUCCUUUCUCUGACGCGUCUACAACUUGUAUCUUCAUUACUGCGUAUAAGUAUAAAUCUCAUUUUCAUUCAUAAUAAUUGUAGUAUUUGUCCAAAGCUAAACAGAUAAGACUACCAUUUCCUUUAAGCAAAAUAAAAUCUCAUAUUGUCCAUUUAAUCUAUUGCAUUGUGACAUUUAGGGUCAUCAUAAAAUCCCAACUCAUUUUGGAAAAUAGGUUUUUUUUUCUCACUCACUAUAGUCUAUGACUAUUUCUUAUGAAUCACAAAUCUGAAACCAACAUCUCUUAACAUCAUUAAUUACAUUUGCACAAAACUAAUUUCACACAUCUAUUAAAACCAUUUGUGUUGACCACGGAUUCAAAUUUAUUUUAAUGCCUAAUUUUUUUCUCAAAAAAAACUAUUGAAUGUCAAUGCACUUGUGUUUACACUCUCAACAAAAUGGGAUAGUAGAACCAACCGUAGAUACAUUUUAAACACAGCACAAGGAUACCUAGAAAAUUCUUCCGUAGAUAAAUGGAUUUUUUUUUUAAUGUAAAGACAUCUUACUUUAAUAAAAUAAUGUAUAUAUAUAUAGUUAAAAUCAUUUUUCAAGAGAAAAGAGAACUUACCCAAUACUUAUAAUUAUUUUACAAUUUACCUAAUCGGAUAACAUUUUCAAGAAAUUACACCUUAAUGCUAAAUUUUCUAAAGGUUUCCUUCGUAAUGUAAUAGCUCAAAACUAUGAUUAUUUGUUACUAAAACAUUCAAAAAGUAUGAUUAUUUUUUACUAAACAAUCAAAGCUAUAUAAGGAUAAUUAUGAAACGUUGAACAAUGAUGCAGCGUAUGAAUCUGUGAAACAAAAAAGGCACGUGAACCACACCUUUACAGCACUGAUGCCUCGUAUCCACCACAACUUCAUUAAACCGGUAACUGAUAAUCCUAAUUUUUUAUAUAAUUAUAUUAUAAUUUUAAUAUAUUUUAAUAUUAUUUAAUUAUAAAUUUACUUUUUAUUAUAUAUUUUCACUUAAAAUAAUCCAACUAGAGUUACGUAUGCUCUUACAUCAUUUACCAGUAAAUAAUAAUUUUGUAGUAGCCUACAUCACUCUUAUAAUAAAGGAUCAUGGACACUGCAGAGUGAAAACCCCAAAACCAAACCAAGAGAGAGGAGAGAUCUGCACUGCUACCAAUUUUUCAUCUGCCUCUUUGGAGCCAUGGUUCUCCUAACAAACAGCCCUCACUUUGUAUUAUUCCCCAUGAUGGCUCAAGGUCACAUCAUCCCCAUGAUGGACAUUGCAAGAAUAUUGGCACAGCGUGGUGUGAUUAUCACCUUAUUCACAACCCCAAAAAAUGCAUCACGUUUCAGUUCUGUUAUAUCUCGAGCUGUUUCAACAGGCCUCAAAAUCCGUGUCCUACAACUUCCUUUUCCAUCAAAAGAAGCAGGGCUACCUGAAGGGUGUGAGAAUUUGGACAUGGUAACUUCAAAUGAUAUUUCCAAAAUUUUCCAUGUCAUCCACAUGCUCCAAAAGCCAGCAGAGGAGUUCUUUGAGACACUUACGCCCAAACCAAGUUGCAUAAUCUCUGACUUCUGCAUUCCUUGGACCGCUGAAUUAGCCGAAAACUAUCACAUUCCAAGGAUUUCUUUCCACGGAUUUUCAUGUUUUUGCCUCCAGUGCCGGUACGUGAUACAUACUUCAAAGUUUUGUAAAAGCAUCACUUCAGAAUCCAAAUACUUCACUAUUCCCGGCAUACCCGACCAAAUUCAAGUUACCAGAGAGCAGUUACCAGGAUCACUUGGCAAGGAUUUGGAUGACUUUAAAGAUCAGGUGCGUCAUGCUGAAAUGAAGUCUUAUGGGGUUAUCAUAAAUAGUUUUGAAGAGUUAGAGAAGGCAUAUGUGAGGGAUUACAAGAAGGUAAGAAAUAAUAAGGCGUGGUGCAUUGGUCCUGUUUCAUUGUGCAACAAAGAUGGUUUGGAUAAGUCUCAAAGAGGCAACCAGGCCUCAAUUAACGAGCACCAUUGCUUGACGUGGCUAAAUUUGCAGCAACCCAAGUCAGUGGUCUAUGUUUGUUUUGGAAGCAUAUGCAACUUGAUUACUUCAGAACUUGUGGAGUUGGCCUUGGCCUUGGAAGAUACAAAAAGGCCAUUUGUAUGGGUCAUUAGGGAGGGAAGUCAGUUCCAAGGACUAGAAAAGUGGAUCUCUGAAGAAGGGUUCGAGGAAAGGACCAAAGGGAGAGGCCUUAUAAUUCGAGGUUGGGCACCACAAGUGAUAAUAUUAUCACACCCUUCCAUUGGAGGAUUCUUAACACACUGCGGUUGGAAUUCAACACUUGAAGGGAUAAAUGGUGGAGUGCCACUGGUUACCUGGCCUCUAUUUGGUGAUCAGUUUUUGAAUGAGAAGCUUGUUACUGAUGUGUUGAAGAUUGGAGUGAGCGUUGGGGUAGAGGUUCCAGUGAAAUGGGGAGAGGAAGAGAAGAGGGGUGUGUUGGUGAAGAAGGAUGAUAUUAAGAGGGCAAUAUGCAUGGUGAUGGAUGAAGAUGGAGAAGAAGGCAAAGAGAGAAGAGAAAGGGUAAGGAAACUGAGUGAGAUGGGAAAGAGAGCCGUUGAAGAAGGAGGCUCUUCUCAUCUUGAUAUCACUUUGCUAAUCCAAGACAUUAUGCAACAAUCAACUACCCAAGAGGCUUAAUUUGUUUUUAUCUACAGUGAUAUAUUGCAUACCUACAUAUUAUUAACCCAAAUCUAUAAGAGGAUGCAAUUUUGACGCCUAAAAGAUUCUCGAUUCAUGUUGACGUAUUUCUUUAAUUUUUACGUUCAUAUUAACCCUAUUUUAUAUGGUGGUGAUGCUGUGUUUCGAUGUGUUGAUUUACUAUUGAAGUGGAUGGAAGAAUCUGCCCCACUCAUAGAAUAUAAAAGAACUGAUGGUGGGAUUGGGAAAUUUACCCUUUGUCCAGUUAAGGUCUUAAUCAUAAUUAAUUAUAGUUUAGUGAUUGAUGGAUUACAGUACUUGCCUUUCCAACUCCAAAUAAACUCAUUUCUCCCAUCACUUUUUUUUUGCAACCAACUUUACCUCUUCUACUUCUAUUUAUAAUUUUUUUAGUGUUGAUACCUUGAUAAUAAUGUACUAAAUUAUUGAAAAAAUAUAUUUUUUUGUUUGAAAUAAAGAAAUCUUAAAAUUAUAUUUACCGAAUCACUUAUGUUUUUCAAUUUGUAGUUUUGAAAGGAACAUUUUUCAUUUUUUUUAUUAACACUAACAUCCAUUAUCCAUUAUACCUAGGUAAUAUAAUACAUUCACUUUCAAAAUAAUAUACCUUAAAAAAAUGCAGUUUAAUUUUUUUUUUAUCUAUUUAAUGAAAUAUUAUAUUAAUGUUAACUUAUAAAUAUCUUAUCUCUUAUUUUAAAUAAAUAAAAAAUAUUAAUCUUAAUACAUUUAAAACAAAGAUAUUUUUAUAAAUCAAUAAAUUAUAUUAAAUUUAAUUUAUUUUUCAUUCACAUCAAUCAUAUUUAUUAUAAAUUUUUUACCUCAUUCAACUCAUUUUUCUUACAUCUAAAAACAACCUUGAUUUUCAUUUUUUAAUAAAUUCUUAAAAAAAAGAGAAAAAGUUUGAUUUGUGUUUGUGCAAUGACAAAUUGUACACGUUCUCUUGCGCUUAAUUAUUUGUCUUAUUGUGUGACUUCACUCAUCUAGAUCUGCACGUGAUACAUCAUUAUCACUUUAGCUUUAGUUACACUUUUGUCUUGUGAUUUCUUUACUUUUAUUUUGUCUAAUAUCGUUUUAGGGUUAAUAAAUAGUUUUGUUUUAUCUUGUCUUUUAAAUCAGUUCAAUUCGAUUUGUUUUCUUCUAUAUUAAUUUAAUUGAUUUAAAAUGAUAAGGUUAAUUAACAGUGAUAUGUUUAAAUUGUCAGUAAAAAACUAUUACUAAUCAAUAAAUUUUCAGUAACAUUGUCAUUAUUCAAGACUAUUACUAAUUCAACUUACACAAAAAAAUUAAAUAUCAUCUACUCAAAGCCAAGUACCUUGAAUAACUAAAGAAGCUUUGAUCACUACAUCAGAUUAGUUCUUUUGUCAUAUUAUGAAUUUUAUUUUACUUAUUAUUAUUAUUAUUAUUAAAAAUAUUCUGUAUGUAAUAUUUUAUAUACGAAUAUCAUCCGUAUAUAAUUAUUCUUGUUUCAUGACGCCAAAAUUAUAUACGGAUUAAAUUUGUAUGUAAUCACUUUUGGCUUACAUACGAAAAAAUCCAUAUGUAACGUCUAUUUACAUAUUGAAUUAAAUCUUUAUGUAAAUAUUUGUAUGUAGUCACUUUUGACUUAUAUACAGAAAAAUUCGUAUGUAAUCACUUUUGUUUUUAUAUAUGAAAAAAAUCGUAUGUAAUCAUUUAUGUUCUUACAUACGAAAAACAUCCGAAUGUAAUGUCUAUUUCAUAAUAAAUAAAAUUCGAAUGUAAAUAUUCAUAUGUAAUGCUCAUUUUACAUACGAAUUAAGAUCUAUAUGUAAUAAUUGGUAUGUAAGUAGACAAUUUCUUGUAGUGAAAAAUACUGAUUAAAAAAUUAUAAAUGAUUUUUUUUAUAAAUGUAUAUUCAUUGUAAUUUUUAACACUCUAAAGUUUUAUAUAUUUUUAAGGUUAACUUAAUUAAUAAAACCCGAAAUUGUUUGAGAAAGAAAUUAUUACUUCCGUAAAUUGAAAAUAAUAAUUACUUGAAUAAUGUAUUCUAUCUUGUAAUAUUUGAAUUAGAAUUGUAGUUUAUACGACAGCUUAAAAUCGUCACAGUAAUUAAUAAAUUCUAUAAUUAAAAAAAUUACAAAAUUAAAAAUUCAAUUACAAUAAAACAAAUACAAGAUUAAGAAUUUAAUUAGAUUAUGUACUCAGUACUUAUCUAUUAACAUACAUAGUAAAUGUUUUGAAAAGAUUUUCAUCAUUGAUUGUUGACAUAGGACAUACAUUUAAACUUUAACAAACAAACUUUGAUUGGAUAUUUGUUAAUGACCAGUGGUUCAUUGUAUAUCACAUUAUUUAUCUAUAUAUUCGUGAUUUAAAAAGGUGCCUAGGCAUUAUUCUUGUUCAAAUUCUGAUUGGUGACUCUCAUGGACAGCUAUGGUGUGAUGAAAAAGAGAAAUACAUAAAAGUAACAAACAAAAUCCUAGUUCAUGUAUUACUAGCCAAGAGAUCUGAAAUCACGACAAAAAAGGUCAAAAUUAUUGACUCAGUAGUGUGGCAUUAUUCAAUGUGCUUGCGUAAGCGCUUACAUGAACAUUCACUAAUACAUUACAAACUCACAACAUCAACCAAUCGAAAUCGAAUUAUUUGAUGUAAUAGAUUUAGAAAUAAAUAUAUAUAAUAAAUAAUAAAUUUAUAAUUAAAUAAUAUAAAUAAAUAUUAAAAUAAUAGUAUUGAAAAUUAUAAUGUAAUUAUAUAAAAGAUUGGAGUUGGAAAUAUAUCAUUAGGCGUGUUUGUAUUAUGUGACAGACCCACAUUUAAGAACACACCAUUUAAAGGCAGCGUAAUUCAUAGAUUGUGCAUUGCCAUUUUAGUGCAAAACUAUGUCUUCCCAAGAACAAAGGCCACACUUUGUCCUGAUUCCAUUGAUGGCCCAAGGCCACUUGAUCCCCAUGAUGGACUGGGCGAAAUUAUUGGUGCACCACGGUGUUACUGUGACUGUAGUCACCACGCCGCAUAACGCAGCUCGUUUCAGACCUAUCUUCGAUCGUUAUGUUGAGAAUGAGAAUGGACUUGCUAUUAAAUUAGUUCAAGUUCGAUUCCCAUGUGAAGAAGCAGGACUGCCCGAAGGAUGCGAGAAUAUCGAUAUGAUACCUUCACUUGGCACGGCCAGGACUUUCUUCGAAGCAACAAACCUUCUACAGCAACCCGUGGAAAAACUCUUUGGAGAGUUAUCACCAUCACCAAGCUGCAUAAUCUCCGAUAUGUGUUUGCCAUUUACAUACCAUAUCGCCAAAAAAUUCAAUAUCCCAAGGAUUUCUUUUCUUGGUGUAAGUUGCUUUUGUCUUCUGUGUCAUCAUAAUAUUCUCAUCCAUAAUGUCAGGGACAACGUAGCAUCGGACUCAGAGUACUUUGUUGUGCCUGAUUUCCCUGACAAGAUUGAGAUUACCAUAGCACAGAGUGGUGUGUCGAUGAAUGAAAAGUGGGAACAGUUUCGUGAAGAAAUUGCGGUUGCUGAAAAGAGUGCUUAUGGUAUAAUCAUGAAUUCUUUUGAAGAGUUGGAGCCAGCAUAUGCAAGGGAUUACAAGAAGGUAAAAAAUGAUAAAAUGUGGUGUAUAGGACCUGUAUCACUUAUUAACAAGGAUGACUUGGAUAAGGCUGAAAGAGGUAGGGGCUCAAUCGAUGUGUCCCAAUAUCUAAAAUGGCUUGAUUGUGAGAAGGCAGGGAGUGUAAUCUAUGCAUGCCUUGGAAGCCUAUGCAAUUUAACAGCACCCCAGUUGAUAGAGCUUGGUUUGGCCUUGGAAGCAUCACAAAGACCCUUCAUUUGGGUUAUCAGGGAAGGACGUUAUUCAGAAGCAUUGGAAAAGUGGAUCGAGGAAAAUGGAUUUGAGGAAAGGACAAGUUCUAGAAGCCUUCUCAUUCGGGGGUGGGCUCCUCAAUUGUUGAUAUUAUCACACCCUGCAAUUGGAGGCUUCAUAACACACUGUGGUUGGAACUCUACCUUAGAAGCAAUAUGUGCUGGUGUUCCAAUGAUUACAUGGCCAAUGUUUGGUGAUCAGUUCUUGAAUGAAAGUUUAGUGGUUCAAGUUCUAAACGUUGGAGUAAAGGUUGGGGUGGAAACUCCAAUGACAUGGGGCCAGGAAGAGGAAAUGGGUUUGGAAGUGAAAAAGGAAGACGUUGAAAGGGCAAUAAUAGAGAUAAUGGAUGUGACAAGUGAAGGUGAAGAAAGAAGAAAAAGGAUAAGAGAAUUGAGCGAGAUGGCUAAAAGAGCCGUGGAGAAAGGGGGAUCCUCUCACUCUAAUGUCAACUUGCUUAUCCAGGAUAUUAUGCAAAAAAACAAGGGAGAUGUGCUAUAGUUUCAUUUGCCAUAAACCAUUUUCACUAAAAAUUUAUGAAUUAUCUAUGUUUUCUCUUUUCUAAGAAAAUAUUGUGCAUUAUCUUCUCACAUAUUUAAGUUAUAUUGCUUUUAAUGUCUUAAUAUAUAUUAAAAAUACUUUAAAAUAUUACUUGUGCAUUGACGUGGUAAUGCGACACGUUCAUGAUUUAGCUACCUCGUAGUGUUGGCUUAUCAAAAGCGAGUUACACUUAGUGUUAAGUCAUGGGUCUCUCCCGAUGGAAUAUAACAAAUUGUUUAUCUUUUGACCUUCAAAUUCAUCAUAGCCUCAUUGGCCUACGUCUGAGAUUGAGGGGCAUGUUAGGUUAUGGGUUUGGUUUGAUAGUUGGUCAUUUAUGAUUGUUUCCCGACCUAUUAUCUAACAUUAUGAGGGACUACAAAUCAAUGAAUCUCAAUAAAUUAACUUUAAUAACUCAAUUAAGACAUAAUCAUGACUAAAGGUGAAGAGGUUAAUUACAAUUCGAUCUAUAUAUAUCAUAUUAGACUUUACAAAAAAACAUCAUCUAAUAAACAACAUAAGGAGUACUCUCUCUCAACUCCUAUUUUAAAUUAUAUUAUAUUUAUGUUUUUAUUGACUUAAACGUCCGAGUAUCACAUAGGAGGAGUCCCUUGUUCUAAAAGAUUGAAUCACUAGAGCUUGAAGGGAGACCACAAAAAACUCUUUCAGAUGCCGAUCGACCUCAAGUUGACUAGAAAACUUAGGAUGAAAUAACUUGUGUAAAACUUAUAUAUUAAUAGAUUUUACAUCUCCCUAUGAGUGUGACUUUGAGAUCAUGGACGCCUAAGUUAAAAAAAUCUAGACAAUAUUUUAUAAUUUUUUAAUCUUAAAUUUUAUUAUCUUUAUAAAAUUAAAAACUCAUUAUAAAUAUAAUAAUUAAAAAAAUACUUAAAAAAUAAUAAUUUACUAUUUUUAUAGAUAAAUAAGAAAGUAUAUUAUGAAAAUAUAUAUUAAAAUAAAGCAUGAAAUAAAAUAUAAACGUGUACUUGUAAAUAUAUAUAAUAUUAAAUAAAUAAUAAAAAAUAUUUAAUUAUAUUCAUUAUAUAAAUAAUAUUAUAUAACAAUAAAGUAUUAAAAGAUUAAUGUAAAUUGUGAAAUAGAAUAAAUUAAUCAAUAUUUAAAUAUCUAAUCCACUCUGCAGUUUAUACAUGGGUCCCUCAUUAUCAUCCCAACUUGUGGAGGAAAACAACAGAAGAGAACGAACCAAAUAUUCAAAUUCGUGUUACCGUCAUUUUAACUUUUUUUUUUUUUUUUCAUUUUGUUUUCUAAUGCAUGCCGACUCCAUAGACUUCACAAAUAAUUUGUUUUGUAAGGAUGAGAGAGCUUGCAUGUUUUUUCUUCCGUUAAGAAAAGUGUUUUCUUAUAUAUAAUUUUACUCAUUUUAAUAAAUAAUUGUACAUUAAUUAUUAUUUUCAACUUUUACAUCCCAAUUAGAUUGGUAUUCAAAGGUUUACAUGAAUUACAAGAAUCAUUUCACCUCAACCUUUGUUCUUCUAAGUUUUGCAAAUGUCGAGUAAUAAAUAUUUCGUAUAUAUGUAUAAUUUAAGAAGUAAGCAUAAGUACAAUUCAUCUUUCCCAAACUAGUUUGAAAGGUGAGAAUUAAAUAGUGUAAACUAAUUUUAUUUCUAGUCUAUGCCUAAUUUCUAAUCAAUAUAUAUGUUUUUUUUUUGUGUUUUCUGCAUUUGCAUUGUUUUAGACAAUUGUAAAAGUCAUUUUAGAAGACGAUCAUACUUCAGGAUGAAUGUAAUAUAAGAAUCUUAAUUAUACAGUGGAAAUUAAUUGAAAUAUUAUUAAUUCUGACUACAAUUACAUGAUCAAGAUUAAUAAGAUGAACUCGUGUAUCACGAGGGCAUGCAUCUAAAAGUUUUUAGAAUUUCUCCACACAUGAUUUAUGUGGUCCAACAUGUACCUCACAUUAUUCUUAUUGCAAUCAAAAAUGUUUUUUUACAUCCAUACUCUAUCCUAUAUCCCAAUAAAUAUUGACAUUUUAAUUAUUUAUAAUUUUUUUAAUUUUAAAAAUUAUUUUAACAUUUUAUAUUUUGCUUAUAUUUUUAUUAAGAUUUUUUUUAAAUUUUUUAUUGUAAAUAUAUUGUUAGUGUAAAAUGGAAUUAAGCGUCAAAAUAUCACCGAUUGCAAUUUCGAUACUCAUGCAGACUUGCAGUACACAAGGGACAUAAUUUUUUGUGCUCGAUCUACAAAGAAACUUGAUGAUACAUAAUAAAACUUUCCAAUUUCUUGUAUUUGGGUCUAACAGAUAAUGCUAAACCAAAAAGACAAAAGGCAAGGAAAUCUCCAAUGCACUGUCACCUAAUACAAAGUAAAUUGUAUAGCAAUGCAAUUAUAUUUUUUACUGUUUGUCAUUUAGAAAAUGUGAAAAAAAUUAAUUUGAUAUUAAUUUUUAAAAUAAUUUAAUUGAUUGAUUGAUUAAAAUUAAAAGUUAACUAGUUGAAAUAUAAAAUAUGGUUAAAAUAACAUAAUUAUAUAUGCAUGAAUUUUAAUCUCAAAGUAUCCUUAUAAUGACUUGAAUAAUAAUUUAUACUAUUAAUAAAGAAUAUAUAUGUAUUUCUUAUUAGUAAAUUUUUUAGAUAUUUUAUUAUUUUAAAAAUCACCCACCUCCUAAAUAAUAUGGAAGAAAAAAGUUAUAAGAGAAUGAGGGUGUGUCUUUGGAAGAUUUGGAGAUCUAAAAUAUUAUUUGUUUUUUAGCUCAUAUCACCAUGAUAAUUUUAUUUUUAAAAAGUGUCCUCCACCGUUAAAAGUGAAAGAUGUAUUUAAAUUGGUUUUACUUCCGACUUCUUAGCCAUUAGAGAUUUAACAUAAUGAAAUAAUACCCCAAUUUGUUAUUAUAACAAAAAAAAAUCAAACUCUAUGAUAUUUCUAAACUUAAGAGAAAUAGUAAUUCUUUUACUAAUAAUAAUAAGGAAAACUUUCUUUUAACACUGUUGAACAGUUAAAAACAUACCUUUAACAACAGUUUAUAAUAAUACAAUAAUAUUUCUAAUUAAAAAAUAAAUCAAAAGUAAAUAAAAUAUUAAUUUAUUCUGUUUACGGUGUUAAUAUAUCACCGCUCUAAUAAUAAACCUAUGAACUGGUAUUAUUAAGGAAAAGAUUUUGUUGCUAAAAAAAAUAAAAAAUACUUCACACUCUAAUAAUAAUAUUUUUAAUUAAAAAUAUAUUAAUUUUUUAUACGUGAAAUAAAUGUUUGGCACUGUGUGUAUGGUGUUAACGAUCCUAUUAUUAAUAGUUCAAAUCUUGGUUAAAACACAUGCAUGAACUGUAUCACUGGUCCAAAUGGACAUUAUUCUCUCUCCAAUGAAGCCUCUUAUGGCCGGCUUGGUUUCCUCCGACAAAGGGAUCCGACAUUAUGAUACAAACAUACUAUGUAUUACGUAGCAACAAAACUUUCCAACUGAAUGCAUUUGUUUCUGCAGAAGAUGCAAAUCCAAACAGACAAAACGCAACGCAAUUUGCAAUGCACUGUCUCAUAUUCCAAGGUAUUCACGUAGUUGCAUCGAGAGAGGCUGCAUGACGCGUCUAUAAAUAAAUAAACAGGUUGAAGUGAAUUCAUUGCAGAAUACCAUUCCACAACAAGAAUGGGUCCCCAAGAUCAGCAACUCCACUUCGUCUUGUUUCCAUUGAUGGCUCAAGGCCACAUGAUCCCCAUGGUGGACAUUGCAAAAGUAUUGGUGCGACGCAAUGUUAUUGUGACUGUAGUCACUACCCCAAACAAUGCAGCUCGUUUCACGUCAAUCUUUGAUCGUUAUGUUGAAUCUGGGUUUCAAAUCAGAUUAGUUCAACUUCAAUUCCCAUGUAAAGAAGCUGGAGUACCAGAUGGAUGUGAGAAUCUCGAUAUGAUACCUUCACUGGGCAUGGCCGCUGGCUUCUUCAAUGCAACAAACUUACUUCGACAACCAGCUGAAAAACUGUUUGAAGAGUUAACACCAGCACCAAGCUGCAUCAUCUCCGAUAUGUGCUUACCGUAUACAAACCACAUUGCUAAAAAGUUUAAAAUUCCCAGGAUUUCUUUUGUGGGAGUAAGUUGCUUCUAUCUCUUUUGCAUGUCUAAUAUACGUAUCCAUAAUGUUAUGGAGAGCGUAACUACUGAAUCGGAGUACUUUGUUGUGCCUGGUAUACCUGACAAAAUUGAAAUGAACGUAGCUAAGUCCGGACUAGCAAUUAAUGAAGGCAUGAAACAGGUUACUGAUACAUUGUUUGAAGCUGAAAUGGAAGCUUAUGGGAUGAUCAUGAAUUCUUUUGAAGAGCUGGAGCCAGCCUAUGCAGGGGGAUACAAGAAGAUGAGAAACAAUAAACUGUGGUGUUUGGGACCACUGUCAUAUAGCAACAAGGAUCACUUGGAUAAGGCUCAAAGAGGUAGAAUGGCCUCAAUUGAGGAGUGCCACCUGAGGUGCUGGCUUGAUUGUCAAAAGCUAGGAACUGUAAUCUAUGCAUGCUUUGGAAGCCUGUGUAAUUUAACAGCACCACAGUUGAUAGAGCUUGGUUUGGCCUUGGAAGCAUCACAAAGACCCUUCAUUUGGGUUAUCAGGGAAGGAAGUUAUUCAGAAGCAUUGGAAAAGUGGAUCGAGGAAAAUGGAUUUGAGGAAAGGACAAAUGGUAGAAGCCUUCUCAUUCGGGGCUGGGCUCCUCAAUUGUUAAUAUUAUCACACCCUGCAAUUGGAGGGUUCUUAACACACUGUGGUUGGAACUCUACCUUAGAAGCAAUAUGUGCUGGUGUUCCAAUGGUUACGUGGCCACUUUUUGGAGACCAGUUUUUGAAUGAAAGUCUAAUCGUGGAUAUAUUAAAAGUUGGAGUGAAGGUUGGAGUGGAGAGUCCUGUUACAUGGGGAGAAGAAGAAAAAAUUGGUGUGUUGGUGAAGAAAGAAGAUGUUGAAAGGGCAAUAGUAAAACUAAUGGAUGAGACAAGCGAAGAUGAAGAAAGGAGAAAAAGGGUUAGAGAUCUUGCAGAAAUGGCUAAAGGAGCUGUAGAGAAAGGGGGAUCCUCUUAUUCUAAUGUGACCUUGCUUAUCGAAGAUAUAAUGCAAAAAAUCAAACAAAAUGUAUGAUACUAUCAUACUCAUGUAAUAAAAAGACCAACCUUGAAGUUUUGCACUUAAUUAUCUAUAAUUUGUAUGCAUAACCUCUUCCAAAUUUAUCCUUAACUUUUGCAAAUCAGUAGAAUUUUUAAGGCAACUAUUUUGUUUCAGUAGUACUAUGAUUAAUAUACAACAAUUGCUCUAUAAUUUUUAGCAUUUUUCCAGCAAAUUGAUAGAAUUUCUUGUGAGACUUGACGUCAUCAGCAGCUAGAUGAAUGCAAAUUUGCUGAGGGGGAAAUGUCAUUUUCAUUUUAGGACCCAAGCACAUUGGUUUGCACAGUACAAAAAUUUCUGUCAAGUGAAUCAUUAAUUUUGUUUUGUGGCGAUGAUAUAAGAAUGAGUAUUAGAAUGGGUGUAAUUGUAAUGAAAAUAGAAAAAUAUAUAAUAAAAAAAGACGCGCAAUUUUACUUUAAUCUAUUAUUUUUAAUCGUAAUUCAACUAUUUAUUCUCAUUUAAAGAGUUAAGUGAAAAAAUCAUAGACCAAACGUCGCUUUUAAUUAAAGAUGACAAUGUGCGUUUGUCUCUACAUUGGCUUCUCCAGUAUUUGGAUAGUCUCUAUGCGUGGGUUGAUUUUAUUGGCUCAUUUUACAUAAGAGUUGAUCUGAUUUAGCCCGCGGUAUAAAAAAAUACUUUUUUAAAAAUUAAUAAAAAAUAAAUUUUAAAUAUUUUUAUUUAUUUAGAUGAAUUAGGUAAAUGUUCUUGUAAUAUUAUUCUCACUGUACAUGUGUAAUAAGAUAUGAAUAAAAUUUGUGAAAUGUGAAAUUUAGAGAGUUCCAAAAUUAUAAAUUCUGAAAGUUGAAAUUUGUGUUUUGAAUUGUUCAAUAUUUUAGAUUAUACAAUACAAAAUACAAAUUUGCAUUAUAGAUUGUAGAAUUUGGAAUUGAUACUUUUAUAAAAAUUUAGAAUAUGAUGAAUGAAAAAAUAUGGAAGUGCAGAAAGAAAUUUCUAAAUUUUUAAGUUAUGCAUGUCAUGCAAGUCAUUCCGUUUCAUCUCGCACUUGAUCUAUGCCAAUUGUGGAUUAUUCCAAAUAGACCUAAACUCGCUAGUGGGUUGGAAUAGAUAGCCCAUUCCACGUUAGGCAAUAAUGUAAAGAAAAAGAAGUGAACUUUUGUAAAAAAUUUAGCCAUAGAUCUACAUGUGGACUUGUGGAACACUUUCCUUUUACUAACUUUCUCAUAUUAUAUUAUUUCAUUCAAAAUGAGAAAAUAGAUAGAUGUUGGAAUAAAAUAAAAAACAAAUCUAGACCUUGUCAAAGGUUUAAGUACUAUUGUUGUUGAAAAAUUAUUCUACUUAUGAAGAAGCUUUAAUAGCAAGGAGAAAGGAGCAGUUGAUAAGAAAAAAAUACGAAAAACAAAGAGAACAAACAUAAAAAUAAAAAAUGAAAACGGUGUAAUAUUUUUUUUUAAAUUGCAAAAAAUAAGUUUUACAUGAUUAGUACAUGUUAUAUAAUUGAUUCAAAUAAAUAUAAAUAUUCACAAUAUAAUUAUUUUUUUAACUAUAAUUAGAUUUUUUGUAAAGUGCAUGAUAUUAUUCAUAAAGUGACAUCUUCAUUUGCUUCCCAAUUUAAUUGCAUAUCUAAAAGAAAAAAAAAAUCUUACUUGAUACGGUAAAUAUUAUGUUAUAAGUUGUAAUUUGUCCAAAGUAUGUUAGGUGGAAUUCAAGUUUCAGCUGAUCAUAUACUCAAGAAAAAUCUUUAUAAAGAUUUUGAUGCUUCUCAUAUAUUUAGUAAGAUUAUUUAUAAAUGUUUUAAUAGAAGUUCAUGAAUUAUGGGAAAAAAGAUAAAUACCCCAUUUUUACCAAACACCCAUCAAUUAUAAAUGACAUAACAUUUUUUAUUUUAAAACAUAAAAUGAUUUGGAAUGAAUUAAGUAUGGAAGUAAAAAUACUAUUAUUGUAUUAGACUUAACAAGGUGUAAGAAGAUUGAAGGUGUACAUCUAGCCCUUUUUUUAAAUAUUGUUAUAAGUUAAUUUUUUUUCUAGGGAUACUUUAAUACUAAUAUUUUUUUUACUUUCAUUUAAUAAUUAAAUAUAUUAUUAUUUUAUUUUAAAAAUUUAUUUUUUAUUAAUUAAAUAUAAUAUUUUAUUAUUAAAAGGAGUUAUUAAAUGAAAGUGAAAGAAAAAUAAAAGUGUUAAAGGCUAAUUUCUCUUUUUUUCUAAUAUUUUUUCUCUAAUGCUUUAUUUUUAUGUUAUUAUUGUUUGUUUGUUUAUUUCUUUUUUACUAUCUUAUAGGAGGAUGUUGUCUUUUUGGUUGAUAGAAUGAGGAUCCAAUAUUUUUUUUGUGGGGUUAAAAGAUCUUGUGUCCACAAAUUAGUUGAGACAUUCUUUAAAUAUCUUAUUUUUAUUUGUUUUAUUCUUUGUUGGGAAAAAAAUUGUUCCUAUUCUGACUUUCUCAUCUAAUUUUAUUUUAUUUUCUAGCCCAUAAUAGAAAUUAUCCUUAUCGUUUAACAUUAUUUUAGUAGGACAUAGUUUUUCAUUUUAACUUGAAUACUGUCUCCUCAAUGCUGAUCAGCAACUAAAUGUUUUGUUUGUAACUGAAGAACAACAUGAGAUAAACAUCACUUGACCUGUGAAGAAAAGAGAAUCCAAAGAUGCUUAUGUAGGCGCUUACGUCACCAUCAAAAGGACUUUUAAGAUGUGUGAAAAUGACUCAUACUGUGUUAAAACUAGUGUUAAUCUUUUAAUUCUUCUGUUGUUGAGGUGAAUUCACGGUAAAAGAAUGGCUUCCCAAGAACAGCAGCUUCACUUCGUAUUGUUCCCAUUCAUGGCACAAGGCCACCUGAUCCCUAUGAUGGACUUUGCAAAAGUGUUGGUGCAACACAACGUUAUUGUGACAGUAGUCACAACACCACAUAACGCAGCUCGUUUUGCAUCAAUCGUUGAUCGCUAUAUUGAAGCGGGGUUUCAGAUUAGAGUCGCUCAACUUCAAUUUCCAACUAAAGAGUUUGGAUUACCACAUGAGUGUGAGAAUCUCGAUAUGCUGCCUACACUCGGCAUGGGGUUUCAAUUUUUCGGUGCAGCAAACAUCUCACGGGAACCAGUAGAAAAAUUAUUUGAAGAGUUAACGCCAGCACCAAGUUGCAUAAUUUCUGAUAUGGGUUUGCCAUAUACAACCCACAUAGCCAAAAAAUUCAACAUUCCGAGGAUUUCUUUUGCUGCUGUAAGUUGCUUCUUUCUACUAUGUUUGCGUACUUUACAAACUUAUAAUAUGAUGGAGAAUAAAGCUACUGAAUCGGAGUAUUUUGUUUUGCCUGGUUUACCUGACAAAAUUGAAAUAACCAAAGCCCAAACAGAACACUUAAUGGAUAAAAGAUGGAAAGAGAUUAUGGAUGAAUAUGGUGCACCUGGUGUUGCUACUUAUGGGAUAAUCGUGAAUUCUUUUGAAGAGUUGGAGCCAGCAUAUGCAAGGGAAUACAAGAAGAUCAAUAAUGAUAAAGUAUGGUGUAUUGGACCACUAUCACUUAGUAACAAGGAUCGCAUGGACAAGGCUGAAAGAGGUAACAAGGCUUCAAUUGACGAGUGCCACCUGAAGUCCUGGCUUGAUCGUCAGCAACCAGGGACUGUGAUCUAUGCAUGCCUUGGAAGCCUAUGCAAUUUAACACCGCCACAGUUGAUAGAGCUUGGCUUAGCCUUGGAAGCAUCAAAAAGACCCUUCAUUUGGGUUAUCAGGGG